rnacentral:tRNA from 1 species
GAGCUGUGCCCGAAUACCCAAGGACCACUUUGAUAGAGUGAUUUAUUGGAGUAUCCUCCAGCUCUU